rnacentral:rRNA from 1 species
UAGGGUGGUUAUAGCAUUGGGGCUCACCUCUUCCCAUUCCGAACAGAGAAGUUAAGCCCAAUAGCGCCGAUGGUACUGCAUUUAUGUGGGAGAGUAGGUCGCCGCCUUUC